GACGAACGCUGGCGGCGUGCUUAACACAUGCAAGUCGAACGGAAAGGCCCCCACCUUGGUGGGGGUGCUCGAGUGGCGAACGGGUGAGUAACACGUGGGUGAUCUGCCCUGUACUUCGGGAUAAGCUUGGGAAACUGGGUCUAAUACCGGAUAGGACCAUGGUUUAGUGUCUCAUGGUGGAAAAAUUAUUGUUUUGGUGCAGGAUGAGCUCGCGGCCUAUCAGCUUGUUGGUGGGGUAAUGGCCUACCAAGGCGCCGACGGGUAGCCGGACUGAGAGGGUGGACGGCCGCAGUGGGACUGAGAUACGGCCCAGAGUCCUACGGGAGGGAGCAGUGGGGAAUAUUGCACAAGGGGCGCAAGCCUGAUGCAGCGACGCCGCGUGGGGGAUGACGGCCUUCGGGUGGUAAACUCCUUUCGUUAGGGACGAAGCCACACCUUUUUUGGGUGUGGUGACGGUACCUUUGUGAAGAAGCACCGGCUAACUACGUG
rnacentral:rRNA from 1 species